rnacentral:lncRNA from 1 species
UGGGUUUCAGUCAUUGGCUCGUCCAAAUUAUUAAGACCAGGAGACCGAUGAAGGUCAAGAAGGGUCAUUCUACAACUGUGUCAGACGAAAGAGAAGUUCCAAGAAGUUGACGUGUUCUUUGAUGAAAGUCGACCACUCUCUCCGUUGUUGACCAAAGCUGUUUAGACCUAUCCCGUCUCUAGUCGCACAAGGGUCUGUUUGUGUGUGCCAG